CGCUGUCCGCCGUUUCUCAGUCUCUUCGUUCCUGCUGGCAUUAUGUGUGGUGGUAGUGGUGUGCCCCGGGGAGGAGAGGGGACACGUGGUCCGGCUGAGCUCCGGUAUCCGCCGUUAUGUGACCGGGCAGGAGACCCGCAGCGUGUCCGGCUCAGCAUGUGAUCGCUGGUAAUGACUCCAGAGCAGUGCUGUUCUGCAACACCUGAGUUGACUUGGACAAUGUGCCAUUCGGCCAGUGAUCACCGGCAAUGAAGACUCCAGAGCAGUACUGGUCUGACACACCUGAGGUGACAUGGACAAUGUGCCAUUUAGCCAGGUCUGUCUAAGGAUACAGAUGAAUGCAGAUAGACUUGGCAUACUGGAUAUGAAAGUUAAGGUUUGAAGGAAGUGACCUACCCUGGUCUCCCAAGGCUGGCAUGGAACAUAUAUUGUAAUGUUGGUUAAUAAAAAUAUAUAUUUACAUCAA